AGGUUCUUUCUGUCACAUGUUUCAAUGGUUUGGGAAUAAGACUUGGUGGUCUAAAACAGCUAAUAUGUAGGUUAGCAUCACAGCUUGUCCUUAAGGAUUGAGGCUGGGAAUGGUCAUUGGAGCUGACUUUUAUGGUAACUUUUUCUGUGGCUGCAUCAAAUAAUUGUGACGUAUAACUGUACCAAUAAAGAAUGUAAUUCAGACAAUUUUUGUGUAUGUUUGAGAAAAUGUUAAUAUUUUUUUACAUAGAAAAAAAAAAAAAGAAAAAAGAAUUGUGCAAAGAUUCUCCAUUUUCAACAAGAUUGGAAGUUAUAGGUUAACUUGUAUUUGAAAUUCAAAAUUUCAUUAUUUUUUUUUCCAUUAAAGCCCCAUGGCAAUAUUUUGGUAGCUCUACUCAUGUCCAUUAGUGUCUUCACAUAUUUUUGUCAUUCUUAUGGAUAAGGAACUGGUUUUUGGUAUGAAGUACUUCGCACUUUGAAAAUGACGUGAAACGGACUUAUUUUACUUGAAGACCUACUUUAGAAAUAUCAAUAUUUGUCCUUAUCUAGUUAAAACACUUCCAAUAGGCUAAGAAUGGAGUAUCUAAAAAAAAGAAUGAAAAAAAACCUUGUUAUUUUAUUGAAAUGUAUUGUUAGAUUUAUAUUUUUUCUAAUUUUUUUGUUAUUUUUAGCUGAAUUUGUAACCAAGCAUAAUAAAUUUUAAAGAAUAUUUUACAAUAGUUGAAGAACAUCUUGGUGAAAUGUGUUGGAUUUUUGUUAUUGAAUUAUUUUUUAAUUUUGAUUAUACUAUUUUUUGUACUUUUGUUAAAUAUAGCAAGGAUGUGGAGUCCUAACAGGGUGAAAUUUAGGUCAAAGGGAGGUAAUUUAUUAUACCCCUGUUAAACUCCACAUACUUGAUAUUCCCUCAGUGAUAGUUUU